rnacentral:sRNA from 1 species
UAAUGCUAUCUUAGUACUGUAAUUUACCUUUAACUUAAAUGUUUUGGAACAUAUAACUUGAGGGGUUUGCCUAUGAAUUUUAUCUGACAGUUUCAUCCUCAACUCUUUUUCCUAAACAAAUCCACCUUAUUUCUGUAAUCAUGUGCUUAAAAGGUGUUUCUCUUUCUUUAGAUGAGGAUGAUUCAUGUUCAUUGCUAACAAAGGAGAGCAGCCACAAUAGCAGCUUUGAGCUGAUUGGCUCCACGAUUCCAUCCUAUCAGCCUUGCAACAGACAAACAGGCCGUGGGACCAGUUUUUUCCCUACAGCAGGAGGAUUCAGAUCUCCUUCCCCUGGGCUAUUUCGAGCCAGUUUGGUCAGCUCAGCUUCUAAGAGUUCAGGGAAACUGUCUGAGCCUUCACUUCCCAUAGAGGAUUCCCAGGAUCUGUAUAACGCCUCCCCAGAGCCUAAGACACUUUUCCUAGGAGCAGGAGACUUCCAGUUCUGUUUAGAAGAUGACACUCAGAGCCAACUGUUGGAUGCAGAUGGGUUCUUAAAUGUUAGAAACCACAGGAAU